GACGAACGCUGGCGGCGUGCCUAAUACAUGCAAGUCGAGCGAAGUUUUUCUGGUGCUUGCACUAGAAAAACUUAGCGGCGAACGGGUGAGUAACACGUAAAGAACCUGCCUCAUAGACUGGGACAACUAUUGGAAACGAUAGCUAAUACCGGAUAACAGUAUUUCUCGCAUGAGAGAUAUUUAAAAGUUGGUUAUGCUAACACUAUGAGAUGGCUUUGCGGUGCAUUAGCUAGUUGGUGGGGUAAAGGCCCACCAAGGCGACGAUGCAUAGCCGACCUGAGAGGGUGAUCGGCCACACUGGGACUGAGACACGGCCCAGACUCCUACGGGAGGCAGCAGUAGGGAAUCUUCCGCAAUGGGCGAAAGCCUGACGGAGCAACGCCGCGUGAGUGAAGAAGGAUUUCGGUUCGUAAAGCUCUGUUGUUAGGGAAGAAUGGAUAUGUAGUAACUAUACAUGUACGAGACGGUACCUAACCAGAAAGCCACG
rnacentral:rRNA from 1 species